UACGGGGGGGGCAAGCGUUGUUCGGAAUUACUGGGCGUAAAGGGUUUGUAGGUGGCUCGCUAAGUCAGACGUGAAAUCCCUCAGCUUAACUGGGGAACUGCGUCUGAGACUGGCAAGCUUGAGUGCAGGAGAGGAACGCGGAAUUCCAGGUGUAGCGGUGAAAUGCGUAGAUAUCUGGAGGAAUACCGGUGGCGAAGGCGGCAUCCUGGACCGACAUUGACGCUGAGGAGCGAAAGCUAGGGGAGCAAACGGG
rnacentral:rRNA from 1 species